rnacentral:sRNA from 1 species
UCCCUGUAGCCGCGAAGAGGCAGCCGGG